AAGUCUGGAAAGUAGUGGGAGUCACAUUUAAGUGAAAACCCAAUCCAAAUAGGAAAUCCACUUCAAGAAAGUUCAUCUCUGUGGUACUGAUUCCUCCAACUUUUGCAUAGUAUGCAUUAUUGUAGUACCUAAAAAAAAAACAAUUUGAUAACAAAAUUAGCUUACACUUUACACUUAUUAAAAUUAUAAAAUUUAAGUGUGCUAAUCAAUUGAGAUUAAUGGGAAUGUAGCUUUCAAAUCAAAUGAGAACGUGUAAUCUUGACCAUGCCAACUUAAAAGAAUUGGGUGGCUGUAUUUGAAAGUGGGCUUAAUUUUUAAAAUUCAAAAUUAAAGGAACAAGCAAGUUGUCAUUGUGUUGUCAUUAAUUGAUUUCUUAACUAAUCAUUAAGCAUUUGGUAAGUGUUAAUAAGAAAAAACUAUCCAAAUACAUUGCCUUUUUUCUUCUUCUUUUUUCUUUUUGUGCUCUUUGUUUCUUUUUCACCAAUUCAAAAUAUCAAUCACCAAGUUAAACUAAAUCCAUACAAAACUAUGGACAUACUCUGUUUAUGCUCAAUUUUCCCGGAAUUAUGAAAAUUCCUACUCCUGUGUUUCAAUGUGUUUGCCUGAUUUCACUUGAUACGGAAUUACAAAAAAAAAAGGAAUAAUUUUGAAUCAUGAGGUUUUAAACUAAAAACAUAUAGAAUAUACCAUAUAAACUUUUAAUUUUGAGUUAUAGAAUGGGUCAUGCAGAAAAGUUAGAAUUAAAAAGUUACCAAAACACAAAAGAAACACUCUUUGCUAAAAAAGAAGUAAGAUAGAUAAAUUAAAUCAAAGGAGUAAUUCAAAAUCAAAACCAAGGAAAAUUCAUGAUUCAAUACAAAAUUUCCUUGUUCUUUUGAUUUUUUACUCAAUUUCAAACAAAUUGAGAUCGGCUAUAGCCUAUAUAUACGAAUCCACCCUAUCAAUGUUGAUGAUUUUCUAUUUUUAGAAGGAACAUAGCUGAUUAAGAGUAAAUAUAAAUAUUUAUUUUUAAAAAGUCACUUAUAAAUAACCCAUCAAAAACCUACUAGUAUUUUUUACCUUCCAAAAUUCAGAAAUAAUAAACUCUAACACCGAACUCUGUUUAAAAGAUAUAUUGAAAUUCACUUACAUAUCAUCCAUGAAUUUGGCAGCAAUCAUAACACUAGUGAUAAGCAGACGAUGAAUAUUGAAGGAGUUGAUCGGCAAAGAAGGCUGGCACUGAGUAAAUCGAUCAAGAUAAACAUAAGCAACAACGAAACAACAGGGGCUACAAUUGGCGUAUUUGAAUAUUCUCUCUAAAU
rnacentral:lncRNA from 1 species